rnacentral:rRNA from 2 species
UUUACAUUUGAGUGAGUGGCGAACUGGUGAGUAACACGUGGGAAACCUGCCCAGAAGCGGGGGAUAACACCUGGAAACAGAUGCUAAUACCGCAUAACAACUUGGACCGCAGGGUCCGAGUUUGAAAGAUGGCUUCGGCUAUCACUUUUGGAUGGUCCCGCGGCGUAUUAGCUAGAUGGUGGGGUAACGGCUCACCAUGGCAAUGAUACGUAGCCGACCUGAGAGGGUAAUCGGCCACAUUGGGACUGAGACACGGCCCAAACUCCUACGGGAGGCAGCAGUAGGGAAUCUUCCACAAUGGACGAAAGUCUGAUGGAGCAACGCCGCGUGAGUGAAGAAGGGUUUCGGCUCGUAAAACUCUGUUGUUAAAGAAGAACAUAUCUGAGAGUAACUGUUCAGGUAUUGACGGUAUUUAACCAGAAAGCCACGGCUAACUACGUGCCAGCAGCCGCGGUAAUACGUAGGUGGCAAGCGUUGUCCGGAUUUAUUGGGCGUAAAGCGAGCGCAGGCGGUUUUUUAAGUCUGAUGUGAAAGCCUUCGGCUCAACCGAAGAAGUGCAUCGGAAACUGGGAAACUUGAGUGCAGAAGAGGACAGUGGAACUCCAUGUGUAGCGGUGAAAUGCGUAGAUAUAUGGAAGAACACCAGUGGCGAAGGCGGCUGUCUGGUCUGUAACUGACGCUGAGGCUCGAAAGUAUGGGUAGCAAACAGGAUUAGAUACCCUGGUAGUCCAUACCGUAAACGAUGAAUGCUAAGUGUUGGAGGGUUUCCGCCCUUCAGUGCUGCAGCU